rnacentral:rRNA from 1 species
AGAACGAACGCUGGCGGCGUGGAUAAGACAUGCAAGUCGAACGCGAUUUAUCGAGUUAGCAAUAACUUGGUAGAUUGAGUGGCGAAAGGGUGCGUAACACGUGGGAAUUUACCGAGAAGUGGGGAAUAGCUCGACGAAAGUCGAAUUAAUACCGCAUGUGAUCGAAAGAUCAAAGCCGGGGACCGCAAGGCCUGGCGCUUCUUGAGAAGCCCGCGGCCCAUCAGCUAGUUGGCGGGGUAAAAGCCCACCAAGGCUAUGACGGGUAGCUGGUCUGAGAGGACGACCAGCCACACUGGAACUGAGACACGGUCCAGACACCUACGGGUGGCAGCAGUCGAGAAUUUUCACAAUGGAC